GAAAGUGGGAAACAUUAGAAAUAGGGAAAAUAGAUCCAAUAGAAACAAAUUUUAUAACUUUAAAAGUAGAACUGAUCUUUUUAAGAACAGUCCACUAGUCUAUGCUAUUGAUAAAUACAAUAAUAAUAUGUAAUGUUCUUACUAGAUGUAAAUAGAUAUAGUUUUAAUAACAUUUUAAUAGAUUAGUGGUAUUACCUAUGUAAAUACAUGACAAUUAAGUUAUCUUAUUCCAUGUAUACUAUUAAAACCCAG